GAUGAAGAACGCAGCGAAAUGCGAUACGUAAUGUGAAUUGCAGAUUUUAGUGAAUCAUCGAAUCUUUGAACGCACAUUGCGCCCGCCAGUAUUCUGGCGGGCAUGCCUGUUCGAGCGUCAUUUCAACCAUCAAGCCUUCGCUUGUGUUGGGGCCCCGCGGCUGCCGCGGCCCCCUAAAUCCAGUGGCGGGCUCGUCGUCGUACCGAGCGCAGUAGACAUCCUCGCUCCGGGAACCCGACGGGUGCCGGCCGUGAAACCCCCCCCAUCAAGGUUGACCUAGGAUCAGGUAGGAAUACCCGCUGAACUUAAGCAUAUCAAUAAGCGGAGGA
rnacentral:misc_RNA from 1 species